UACGUAGGGGGCUAGCGUUGUCCGGAUUUAUUGGGCGUAAAGAGCUCGUAGGCGGCUCGGUAAGUCGGGUGUGAAACCUCCAGGCUCAACCUGGAGACGCCACUCGAUACUGCCGUGGCUAGAGUCCGGUAGAGGAGCGUAGAAUUCCUGGUGUAGCGGUGAAAUGCGCAGAUAUCAGGAGGAAUACCAGCGGCGAAGGCGGCGCUCUGGGCCGGUACUGACGCUGAGGAGCGAAAGCGUGGGGAGCAAACAGG
rnacentral:rRNA from 1 species